rnacentral:lncRNA from 1 species
AAACUGUUUACUCUCUAUUCCAGAAAACGUCUGACUUUGCUUUUUGAAAGAGAACAAUGGAUACCUUCCCCUUCCCAGGAGGACUUGCUGAUUUCAGAGGGUUUCACAAACAUCCUUGCUGCUACAGAAGGCAGAGCUGGCAUUCCUUUUCUUAGGUGCUUAUUUCAUGCGUUUUGAAAGAGGAAUGGCGUGGCUUGGAGCCCAGAGCCUCAAUCGAUCACAAGAAGACCCGGUGCAAUUGCUUCCUGCUGCAGUUUCCAGAAGCAGAGUCUCAGCUGAAAGCAAGAUGUGCUAACAUCUAUCAAAGGAUCAGGCAGCAGGGAGACCAAAAAACAACGGAGGAGCCAAGACUCCAGCCCCUGCUUUGAGCAUUCAUAACAGUGGAGAGACAGAAACUUACUUUCUGUUCAGAGUGCUUCCUUCAUCUGCUGUGCAUGGUCUAUCAGGACCAAUGCCAGAAGGCUUCUGAAUCAAUCCUGAGGACAAAGCUUACUUUAUACAGGAUUACCAGGAGAAAAGAGCUCCUGAUCUGAGUGCACAUGAGUCCCUGACAAUUUUCUGAUAUCUUCUGGUUCAUUCCUUCCCUCUUUAUGCAUAAAGCUCUACAGACAAGUUACCGAGUAUCUGCAGUUGGCUCCAUCCCUUGCUCACUCCCACCAAAACUCCUCUUCUUAACCAUACUCACAGCCAAAAAGACACCAUCGUCCUGACUUGGUAACUAGACACUAGGGAAAAGGGAGGCAAAAAGGAAAAACUGAGUUCAAAGACUAGGGCUGAGUGGGAUGGGUUUGAGGUUUGGAUCGGAUCCAGUUCUCUGAUUUUGGGAUUCAUUCUCAAGGACAAAGACAUGAAUCCUGGGAAUUCUCAGAGGGAACAGUAGAAUUAUUUCACUCUUUCAGAGGGCACCCAAAGAAGGACAUCGUGUAGCUGGGCAGUGUCAGGUGGGGGGAAACCCUCAGAAACCAGUGGUCCAGGGAAUAUUUUCUGUAGUUGGCUGCUACUAUAUUGGGGUGACUGGUUGUGGAGAACUUCAACUGAAGAAGAGGAAGGGAUUUUCUUAGAGAUCACCCCACCCUGCCCUUCUAUGUACAGACAAGAACAAGGGAAUUCACUCUUAAAACAUCUUAUCCAAAAUUGAAUAUCAAAUAAUCACUCUUACACCUCCUAUACAGUCAAGGCCUAAGGAAGAAGUAAAUUAAACAGUUACCUACAUGUGCCUUCACAGACCUAAAUAAAUACCCAAUGUUUCCUACCAUGCAGCCUCCAACUAAUUGUGUAGAAGGCAAAGGUUGAGAGAAGAGAGAGAACAGAAGAUAGAAGAGCAAAGAAAGAAAAUACAGAAUACUGUACAGACGUUAAAAUGAAUAUAGAUGUAUAGAUCUAUGUGUUAGAAGUAACACAUACAUUAAACAAUUAAAAUAUGUCCCUAAAAGAAAUAAGACAAUUACUCUAAAAGAAUUGGACACCCUCCUCUCACGACCUCCUUCUCUCUUUUGGUGUGAUAUUGUUUAUAUAGAGAGAGUGAUGCACAGAGAAAGAGCAAACUAAAUAGGAGGAUAAGUCAAUAGAUAGAUGGACAAACAGAUGGAGAAACGGACAUUCCGACAGAUGAAUGAGAAGUUGUUAUUAUCAGCCAAGACAUGUCCAUGAGACAGUUUUCUUAAUGUUUGCAAUGAUCCAUCCUACAGUUGAGAUGUCGGAGACAUGGAGAGCCAGAGUCUGUAAAGCUACUAGGUAGCAAGCCCUAGAGGUGAGUGCGGGUGCCUCUGACUCCAGCAUCAUGAUGACCACUUCGCCAUGAUGGCACUUAACAUAAAGAGGCUAAGAGCAUUUCAAGGUUAAAAAUCCUUCCUUGAGAAACCCAAAGGAUAAUGGAACUCAAGGGGCAGAGGGAAUAAAGUAAGUGAAAGAACAAAACAAGACGUUUGUAGAGAAGACAGGGAAACAAACAUCCCCCAGGAGACCUCCACGGUCAGCCUGACUUCAUCCUACAGCUCAAGGGGGCAUCUGUCUCAGAGGGAAAAUCAAAUUUCUUCCCACACAUACAGAGUGGCUGAGAGAUUUUGAGUCUGCCAACCACUGUGCAUCGCAAGUCUCCUCUAUCUGUUCUGCCUUUGAUUUUUCUGUUAAGGUUCAAAUCCAGGGUCUUAGCUCUGCUCUUCACGAACUCUUCCACUGAGCUACAAUCCCCAGUUCAUCCCUCCUGCUUUAAUUUGGAUCAGUUGAGACUUCAGCACAGAAGCAUAAACACCUUCUAAUUUCUCUACUCUGGGAGUCCUGGGAACCAAACUCAGAUCAUCAAGCUUGGUGACAAGCACCUUUACCCACAGACCCUUCUCACCACCCUGUAUUUGUACUUAUAAAAAGUUAAUAAUGACACAAAAGUUGUAGGGCUUAAGGAAAUUCACUCUUAUAACAUCUUAUCCAAAAUAGAAUAUCAAAUAAUUACUCUUACAUCUCCUGUGCAGUCAAGCUUCAACUCGUCUUUAUUUGAAAAUUGUGUGGGUAGACUGGGAUGAAAACUCUAUGCUGUUUAACCAUCUGCUGUAGGUCUCUUGGUCUUAGCAUUGAGGUUGUGGUUAAAUGACACAUAUUUUACAUUUAAAUAUUUGAAAACAUGACCAUCAUUGUUGAGAAACCUUUAGGCCGAUUUCUCUGGCGAGGUUUUUUUUCUAUCUUUCCCAUAGAUUCACCUUUGAUCAUACAUACAGCCCCCAAGAUGCUCAUUUCAAUAGUUUUAGUAGCAUAAGAAAUGAAACUCAAAUUGCCAGAAUAUAUACACUAGAGGCAAUCUAUGAGAGCUAGCUACUUCAUGGUGCAGAAGAGGAAGCUGGGACCCAAGAGAAAGUCUUUUCCUGGAAUAAACAAUAGUGCCUGUCUUGGGCACAUUGCUCUAUGGUGCUUAGGACAAACUCUUCAGUGAGCAACACAAGGCUGGAUGGCUUUAAGUCUCAGGAUACUUCAUCUUCCUUGGGUGUAAUUCUGCUUCUGUAAUGACUAAGGUCAACAUGGCAUCUUGCCUGGUAUCAUAACUUGGGCCAAAAACCCGUAGCUGGAUAAGUCAUAGACUUUGGGAGAACCAAGUACUAUUAUCAUGCUAAAUGGACAUAGUAACAAACUGUAACCUAAGUUCUUGUCUUUAUACCCAUAGAUUAGAGCAUCUCAUUAGAGAAGCUUCUUUUGCAAGUUAAUAAAGAAAACCACAACUAAUCAUGGUACAGAGAACAAGAGACUUUGGAGUGCUUACCUCUAAAUGGGACUCGGCAUUGCAAUCCCUCCCCCCCAAGAAUCGGGGUCAUC